rnacentral:rRNA from 1 species
GAAACCGUGUACGUACAAGCAGUGGGAGCACGCUUCGGCGUGUGACUGCGUACCUUUUGUAUAAUGGGUCAGCGACUUAUAUUCUGUAGCAAGGUUAACCGAAUAGGGGAGCCGAAGGGAAACCGAGUCUUAACUGGGCGUUAAGUUGCAGGGUAUAGACCCGAAACCCGGUGAUCUAGCCAUGGGCAGGUUGAAGGUUGGGUAACACUAACUGGAGGACCGAACCGACUAAUGUUGAAAAAUUAGCGGAUGACUUGUGGCUGGGGGUGAAAGGCCAAUCAAACCGGGAGAUAGCUGGUUCUCCCCGAAAGCUAUUUAGGUAGCGCCUCGUGAAUUCAUCUCCGGGGGUAGAGCACUGUUUCGGCAAGGGGGUCAUCCCGACUUACCAACCCGAUGCAAACUGCGAAUACCGGAGAAUGUUAUCACGGGAGACACACGGCGGGUGCUAACGUCCGUCGUGAAGAGGGAAACAACCCAGACCGCCAGCUAAGGUCCCAAAGUCAUGGUUAAGUGGGAAACGAUGUGGGAAGGCCCAGACAGCCAGGAUGUUGGCUUAGAAGCAGCCAUCAUUUAAAGAAAGCGUAAUAGCUCACUGGUCGAGUCGGCCUGCGCGGAAGAUGUAACGGGGCUAAACCAUGCACCGAAGCUGCGGCAGCGACACUAUGUGUUGUUGGGUAGGGGAGCG